UGGAUAAAGGAGCCGUUUAACUUAGUGAGUCAUUUAAUGAUUUUUUUACGAGUUUAGUGGUCAGUACACAUUACCCAGAGGCAGCAAACGAAAUAAAUAAAAACGUAGCAGUA
rnacentral:lncRNA from 1 species